UACGUAGGGUGCAAGCGUUGUCCGGAAUUAUUGGGCGUAAAGAGCUCGUAGGCGGUCUGUCGCGUCUGCUGUGAAAAACUCGGGGCUUAACCCCCGGGCCUGCAGUGGGUACGGGCAGACUAGAGUGCGGUAGGGGGAGACUGGAAUUCCUGGUGUAGCGGUGAAAUGCGCAGAUAUCAGGAGGAACACCGGUGGCGAAGGCGGGGUCUCUGGGCCGUAACUGACGCUGAGGAGCGAAAGCGUGGGGAGCGAACAGG
rnacentral:rRNA from 1 species